rnacentral:rRNA from 1 species
AACGAACGCUGGCGGCGUGGAUAAGACAUGCAAGUCGAACGGGACAGGUAGCAAUAUCUGUCUAGUGGCGAACGGGUGCGUAACACGUGGGCAACAUGCCUGGAAGAGCGGGAUAGCCCGGGGAAACUCGGAUUAAUACCGCAUGUGACAACGGGGCGGCUUCGCCCUGUUUUCAAAGGUGGGGACCGCAAGGCCUGCCGCUUCCAGAUUGGCCCGCGUCCUAUCAGCUAGUUGGCGGGGUAAAAGCCCACCAAGGCGACGACGGGUAGCUGGUCUGAGCGGACGGCCAGCCACACUGGAGCUGAGACACGGUCCAGACACCUACGGGUGGCAGCAGUCGAGAAGCUUUCACAAUGGGGGAAACCCUGAUGGAGCGACGCCGCGUGGAGGAUGACGGUCUUCGGAUUGUAAACUCCUGUCAUGAAAGAACAAGCGGAGCGGGUGAACAGCCCGCCGAGUUGAUAGUAUUUCAAGAGGAAGGGACGGCUAACUUCGUGCCAGCCGCCGCCGUAAAAC